GUGCCAGCAUCCGCGGUAAUACCAGCUCCAGGAGUGUCUAUGAUGAUUGCUGCGAUUAAAAGGUCCGUAGUCUGCGAACAGUACUUGUUUGUAAUGCGGUUAAUCAACGACCGAAUAGAACAAGAAGAGUUCAGAGUAGGAGCGAAGGAGGGCUAGAUUAUUGAGCAGCGAGAGGUGAAAUUUGAUGACCUGCUUAGGAGUAACAGAGGCGAAAGCGCUAGUCAAGAGCGAAUCCGGUGAUCAAGGACGUAGGCUGGAGGAUCGAAGACGAUUAGAGACCGUAGUAGUUCCAGCAGUAAACGAUGCCGACACUGUUGUGGAAGAUGCACGACAGAAGAGAAAUCUAGUAGGGCUUUGGGGAGAGUACGCGCGCAAGCGAUAAAUUUAAAGGAAAUUGACGGAAGAACACCACAAGGAGUGGAGUGUGCGGCUUAAUUUGACUCAACGCGGGACAGCUUACCAUACCCGAUGACAGUGUGAGCGUAGUACGCGAUAGGUCAAAGAGUGGUGCAUGGCCGUUAACGACGAGUGGGGUGACCUUUGGGUUAAGUCCGCGAAGUAGUGAGAUCCCUAGGAUAGCUUCGGCUUAUCGACAGGUGUUAAAAACACAGGAAGGAAGGGGCAAGAACAGGUCAGUGAUGCCCUUAGAUGGUAUGGGCUGCACGCGCACUACAGUGGUCACAACAAGAGUUAGUAGAAGUAAAUGUGAUCGAGAGGGAAUGAGCACUGCAAUGUGCACAGGAACGAGGAAUUGCUAGUAAUCGUUGUCUCAUUAAGAAGCGAUGAAUGUGUCCCUGUUCUUUGUACACACCGCCCGUC
rnacentral:rRNA from 1 species